rnacentral:rRNA from 1 species
UGGGGAAUCUUGCACAAUGGGCGAAAGCCUGAUGCAGCAACGCCGCGUGCGGGAAGACAGCCCUAGGGUUGUAAACCGCUUUCAGCAGGGAAGAAACUGACGGUACCUGCAGAAGAAGAUGCGGCCAACUACGUGCCAGCAGCCGCGGUGACACGUAGGCAUCAAGCGUUAUCCGGAUUUAUUGGGCGUAAAGAGCUCGUAGGCGGUUCGGUAAGUCGGGUGUGAAAACUCUGGGCUCAACCCAGAGAGGCCACUCGAUACUGCUGUGACUAGAGUGCGGUAGGGGAGCGGGGAAUUCCUGGUGUAGCGGUGAAAUGCGCAGAUAUCAGGAGGAACACCAGUGGCGAAGGCGCCGCUCUGGGCCGUAACUGACGCUGAGGAGCGAAAGCAUGGGUAGCAAACAGGAUUAGAUACCCUGGUAGUCCAUGCCGUAAACGAUGAGUGCUAGUCGUCGGCAGGCAUGCCUGUCGGUGACGCAGCUAACGCAUUAAGCACUCCGCCUGGGAGUACGGUCGC